UAACAUUGAGUAAUUGCUGUGUUGGCUCGGCUGUGUUAGAAGGUACUCUGUGCCUUGCAGUCGGGCCUAGUAAAUAACAAAGAUUGUGUAUACACAAUCAUUGUGACUCGAACCCUUGGUGUUUUCUUGUACGUUAUUUCACCGUUCAAAAAAAUAUAACGGACCGCUCACAGCUUUUUUU
rnacentral:telomerase_RNA from 1 species